AGCCAGAAGGGGACCCAACUAAGGCAGCGCCUGCCGGCCAAUGGUGGCCAUAUUGUCUUCCUGGAGGGACAGGCCCUGGGCUCACAGCAAUGCACCAUCUGGGGCUGGGGUCUUCUGCUCUCUCUUUUCCAGGCACCAGCGGCAGACAGGAAAGGACCACUCUCCCAGGGUCCCCCUUUGGGACACAUGGCCUCCUUUGCUCUCCAUCUCUUCCCUCUGGGGUUUCAUGGAACCCCGACUGUGUGCCAGGCCCUGCAGCAGCUAAGGACACCAGGCUCCAGGCCCCGCUCUUGCAAGAGAACCAGACAAGCUGCCUGGGCAGUGGACAGUGUGAGGCAACACACCAGGAGAAUUGGAGCAGGCAGGUGCCUUGGUGCGGUGUCGGGAGGGGCGGACAUCUGUGUGACAACAGAAACCUCCCUCUGUUUGGAACCUCCCUGUAUGUAACUCUGCAGUCUUUAAAACAAUGUAAUCUCUAGGACGCCACAGCUUCCCAAAUCCUAUUGACCUGUGAUUCGGAUAAGAACUGAUCUCAUUUGUGUCUGAAUGAAUGAAUGUUGUCUGUGCAAGCAGCUGACUUCAGGGCUAGGCUGGUAUCCAGCAUCAUAAGAGCAAAGGCAUGCUUUGUGGUUGCAGAUUGGCACCGGAGCGGCCCUCCCUCACUCUCCCGUGGGGCCUGAGAGGGUCCAGGGGUGAGGGGAGCCAGUGGCGGCAGCCUGCCUCAGUGCGUGUUCUCCGAGCUCUUCCUGACCUUGCUGGGAGUGUGUCUGAUCAAACGUUUCCCCUGUGACUAAAUAUUUGGUCACGGCAGCAGGAGAGAAUUCCAUCAGCGGACAGCUCUAUUUUUAAGGCUCUGGCUUUGUUUUCUGUUUCCCAAGAGGCAGCCCCUGCGGCAGGCUGGAGCCUCUCACACUGACAGCCCGCCUCUCGUAAUGUUAAGCAGGCAUCGGACACUUGCUGGAAGGCAGGGAAUUGCAAUGGAAAACGGUGGAGGUGAGAGGCUGUGCUCCUCAGGGUGAAGGCAGCUUCUGUGCUCCUGAGAUCUACUGUCAAGCCAAGGUCAACAGGAAGAAAAUCUUUGAUGUACUUUAGUUCUGGAUUCAAGAGUAUUUCUGACAUCUGGGCUACAUGGCAUGUCUGGAUGUUUUUCUACUUCCUCAGACUUCCUGGAUCGAAAUUAAGCUUCUCACCUUUAACGAUCCCAGCUGUGAGCUUUUGCCUGCUAGGAACAGAGUCCCAGUUCACACAGGACCCCCAGCUACCUCAGGACCCUGGACAGAGUCCCGGCUCACAUAGGACCCCCAGCUCCCUCACACCCACUGACUGAUGAACGCCUGUGUGUUUUGUAUCGGUGACCUGAAUCAGGUAAAAGCUGCAUGGAGAAAUGGGAGGGGGCGGGCACAAGGAUUGUGGUGACAUCCUCCUGUGGGUGCGGGACCUGCAGCCUUAGGGGCAUGUGGCCUGGUGUCUGCUGUCUCCAUGCCAGGUGUUCAGGCACUGCCAUCAUCUUGGGGUCAGCAUGUAGGGCCCUGCUGGAGUUCACACUCAGCCCUACCGGGCAUCAGAUUCUGCCUGGGAUAUACUGCAGGAGUUAGAGACGUGGGUUGGAAGUGGGGCUCAGAGAUCAGAGACGAAUAUGGCUGAUUGAGAAUUAGGCUGGGCUCCAGCUCUGGGUGCAAUGGGUGGAAAAGUCAGAGGUGCAGCAGCUGCUCAGGAAUCUGGUGGGAAGAGGCUCAGCUCACCUGAGUGGCCAGGCCUCUAGGCCCGGCGAUGGGGACUCCAAGGCGAGCAGCCCGGAGGUGCUCCUGGUUUUCCCAUCAGCCCUGGUCAGUGUCUAGGGAAUGUCCAGGAGGAGCAGCAGAAGCCCUGGGUUCCUGCCACCCACAGAGUCUACAGGGCCAUGCCUCUGCCCUGGGGUCAGGGAGCUGGGGCAUCGUAGAUACCUCCUGCCUCAUGCUGUCUGCGCCCUGCGGCAUCACUCAGAGACUCCUCCAUUGCAAGAACACUCUGCCCCGUGCUAGCUGGGAGCCAAGGGAAGAUUCGAUCAGGGGCCUGUUGGUGCCUUCACAGGCUUUCAGGAAACUCUGAUGGACUCAUAAGGGCUCUCUUUCCUGGUCCUGGCUCAGGGACACUGAUGUGUGUGGCUGUUGUGUGCCACAUCUUGUCUUUCAAAGGGACUCUCUGGAUAAGAGUUAGGCAGAGGCAGGCCACCUGUUUCUGGGAUGUCCAAUCACUGCCACUGGAAUCUCAGGGGACUCACCCAAACCCACCCACAUGGCAAACAGAAAGCCUCACAAAUCACUGAUGUUCCCCAUGAGUUUUUCCAGCAGAGCACACAGGGGUCCCUCUUCAAUAACUGCUUAAUAUCUGUAAUACGUCUUAGUGUUUUCUAAGAUAAAGUCCUGUUGACAAGGCCUGAGCUCCCGCGUGUCUGGCGUCUGGCUCCGCAGGAGGGAUUUCCAUGUCUGCUUGCAGGCUGGGGUCCAGUCUAGCUCUGGAUGGAACGCUGGCCUUGCACAAAGGAAGGGAGCCACAGAAGGCAGCAUUCAAAGCCCGAGUCCCUGGAGGAUGGAGGACACAGGACGUGGAAUGCAGGUGUCCUGUGAGCAGGAGCAGGGAGCGCGGAAGAGGGCGGUAUCGGGCUGUGCAGAAGGAAAGGCAGCAGCAGCCACCCCGGCUCUCUAGGCUUUCUGUGAAACCCUCGGCUUUUGAAAGAUUCACCUCUUGGGGGGCAUUUGGGGUGAGGCAGGGUGGAGAGGACUGGGUGUAAUGAUGUCAGGGCACGUGUAGGAAGAGAAGUGGUCCUCUGUGCUGGGUGUUGGCAGAGAAGACUUGGAAAGGAUUUGAGUUAAUACCUUUUCAGCAAUGAGCUUUCAAAGGUUGUUCCAGGCGGCCUCUGUCGAUGCCUCUCGCAGGAGGAAAACAUCUCCAGCCACAUUUCAGGAGCCAGCCCGGCAGCUUUAUCCGUGUCAACAGCUGAGAACAGCGCCAGGCAGCAAAUGUGCAAAAAAGCGUGUGGAGAUACCAUGGGGAUUCCGGCUU